UUUGGAGUUAUAUACUGUAUAUUUAUCUAUCAAUCAGCCCUUCCCAUUCAGAAUGCUGUUCGAUCAAGGGACUUCCCUGGAACGGUGAUAGUCAAGCACCAUUGAACGGGAUAGGAGAAGCUAUGGGACCUUGAAUCAGAAUGUUCCCCUGCUGUUGCUUUCUACCCCGACCGACGACCGGAGGGGCAGCGGCUUCUACUACCAGCUAAGCUGCCUAUCGAAAUGAAAGGAAAGGUAUGAAGGGAAUACAGUCUAUUUAUAAAUUAGGUGGAUGAUUGGCAAAACAGUUGAUAAUUAUCUAAUAGCGGAACUCCCAUUCAUACGGCAACCAUCCCUCUGGUCUCGUUAACUUAUCAGGGACAAGGGUCCUCAAAUCUAACAACACUUAUCAUACAGCACCUUCUCCGCUCUCUUUAUCUCAUUCUCGCGAGGUUCUUCUGAAAAGUUUAGUAAUUGACCUGAUUUCUCGUGUCACGAGUGGUUAUCCAUGAAAGAGAAGGAGUAAGCAGAGGAUUGGGAAUACUUCGAUGGACUAGAUUCUUGGUCACGAUCGCUCUGAUAGUCAUGGGAAAAAGUGGGUAAGUCAAAGGUACAGAUCUGUGGCGGAGAGCUAUCAGAGUCUACCCAUCCAUUGCGUUGAAAUGGGAUUAUGAGCGGAGGCGAUCGGUGGUCACUCGAUGCUGAAAACACCUGACGAGAUGUCUUUGACGAAUUUCCAGCUACUUUUGUACGAGCCGCUGGCUGUCGUUUCCAGCUAAAGUUAUCAUUUAGGAAAUCCUGCGUCAUCUGUGGAGGCUUUAAAGGGGAAAGAGAGAUAUCGAGAGCAUUUAUUGUUGAUUUAUGGCUUGUCCUUUUGGCAAGGGAUACCAGCGUUUUCGACCACGUUAAUUCUCCCGCAGGUCCCUCUGAAUCAACGCAUCCUUUCGCAUCAGGCAAUACAGCCGAAUGCCUCAUCGCACUUGCUUGUUCUGACCAGGUGGCACUAUUCACUGGUGCUUUGCUCUUGGUUUCCUGCAAAGAUAGCCACUCUUUGCCUCUAGGAGCUAUCUCGCAAUCCGAAGGAGGACAUUGUCGGGACUCUUCUUUUUCUGUGGUUGAAUUGUUCACCUUCAUUUCUUCAGUCGGCCGUUUUUCUUUUGCUUGCCAAAUAGCCCUCUCAACUUCUUUGAGAGUCACACCUUGUGAUAAGAUCUGAGCCCGCUCAUUAGAACUUAUCUCAUCUUUUCCACUUUGGCGGUUUCGCUCAGCUUCAUCGACCGCUGAUUGCCCUUUACAUUCGCUAUCACCCUUAUUCACGGACUUCAUCAUUAUUUGAGCAACCAACCCUUGUCUUUCGGCUUUGGCUUUCCUUUCCUGUCUUGUCUCAUCUUGAAUGGUGUCUUCUUUGACUGCUUUAGUUAGCUUUGCCUGCUUGAUUUUGAAAAGCUUCAGAGAAAUCUCAGUAUCCGCCAUCUCCAUUUGAGUGUUGUAUUUUUUCUGCUCCUUGAUCGGCAGAUCCCCAUGGCUCUUGAUAAUUUCCAUCCCUUCCUCUCCAACAGCAGUCUGGGAUGACCCGAUCUCGAUUUUCAGACUUUUGAUCAUGCUCCUCAGUUCGUUGGCUUCUUUAAUGCGCAAUUGCUUCUCGUGAGCGGCCAAAUCAUCCCCUUUGAUGGACUCGGUGAGCUUCGAGCACUUUGAAUUGUAUUGGGCAAGGAGCCUGCCCUUGUCCGCGAUCGAAAGCGCUGCUGGGGCACCAUUGGUUUCGAUAAAUGAUGAUAGAGGCGAUGAUGCCUUCGAAUGAGCACUGCCUUCAUGUUGGGGCGCGGGAGCGGUAGCUUCAGCUUCUUCCUUGUCGCUGAUCUGUUUUGUUAUAGGACCUUUCGCUUCCUUGCUGACGUCUUUUACUUUGCUCGCUUGUUCAUUUGCUUCGACCUCUUCCAUGAGUGCUUUAAUUUCCUUCUUCACCCUAUCUGCCUCUUUCAUUUUUCCCAGCUUUUCUUGGUGCAUCGAAGAGGCUUCAUUCAAAGCUUUGGCAAUGGCAGCAUUUUUGAUUUUGUAGUGCUCGAUGGCUUUAUCUCGUUCACUAAUAGUGUUUUUGCGAAGGCGUUUGUCGUACAAUCGGGGAGAGGUAGCCGGAGGCGAUACUUCAGGCAAUUUCUUUUCAACCAUAGUUUCUUUUAUUGGCUUUUCAUCUUGGAGCUUGACAUCUGUUUCGACAACUGAAUGAUUGAUGCUGGAACAACGUUCAUCGCUCAAGACAUGAUCUUGGAGGCCUGGUUCGUCCUUGCCCUCAUUUCCUAUCACGCUUUUAUCCAUCAAAACGUCACAUACUGGCUCUUGGACCGGAUGAGCUAUCUGCGUAGUAGGUAUCAUCUGAAGAAGUUGUUCCUCCCCUUCGUUCACUUUGUUUCUUCUUGGUUCUUCGGCCUCUAGUUCUGCAUUGAUGACUCUGUGUUCCCCUUUAUUAAACUUCUUCUCUACCAAAUUUUUUUUCUUUGCGCUUGGCCGACGGUUUUCCUGUACAUCAUCUAUUGCCCUGCCUUUGCCUUUGCCUUUGCCUGAUCUCCGCUGUACCUUCACUUCACCUUUACCAUUUGCGAGACUCCCCUGAUCCGGCUUAGCAAUAUCAAUCGCCUGCAUAGCCUCUCGUAACUUUCCUUCUGUCUCCUUGGCUAUUGCUUUCAUCCGAUUCCUCUCAUCAUCAUUUUCAGACGCUUCGUACUUUUUGACGGCUCUACUGUAAUUCUGCCGAUAUUCUAAGACACACGUUUCAAGCGUUUUGAGAUCCGUUGAGUCAUCUGCUGCAGUAGAAUAUGAGGUUGGAGUAGAUUUGGCGAUGUUGCUUGCAGCAAUAGUUGUAUCACCUUUGCCUUGAUGUCCUGCAUGUUGGGUUUCUAAUGUGCUGUUGGUCUCUUUCAAAGGUUCGUCCUGAUCUGAUCUAACUUCUUUCCUCUCACUUGACCUUCGAUCAGACGAAUCAUUAUCAUCCCCGGCUUCUCGCUCCGUGUCUUCCAAAGCCCGGAUGGUUUCUUUCAAUCUCCUCUCUGCACUUCUUACUUUUUCAUUCCGUUGUUUCUUUUCGCUCUGUUCCAAACGUGUCUCCUUACAACUUUCUAGAGUUCGAUUGCAUGCGGUGUCGUGCUUUUGUGCAUACGUUUUGAGCGGGGAUAGACAUGAUUUUAAGAUGACCGGGUUAACGAGGGUGGAAUGAGGAGGGCGCUUUGUGACUGCGUUUUGCUCAUCGCUUGUGGAGUGAUGACCAGAGGGCCACCAUUGCGGACCUGGAGGAUAUGUCAUCCAUGGAUAAGGACAGGGAAGUUGAAGACAACAUCCAUAUGGAGAGGCCAUAUGAGGCAGCUGUUGAUGACACGACCUGUUCACCGAUGUAUCAGAUAAGCGGUUG
rnacentral:sRNA from 1 species